rnacentral:lncRNA from 1 species
GCGGGCCCGGCGCUGGAGCGGGCGGCGUGGUCCGCCCGGGGAAGGGUAUUCUGUGUUCCUGACUUGCAUUUUGGUUUAUUCCGGUGCUCGAGGGCAGCCGUUGAUUGUGAAUGUUUUAGUAAUCCUAAAAUAGAACCGAGUAGUUCUGGGAGAGGGGUAUAAGGAGUUAGUGUUGAAUGGAUGCAGAGUUUCUUUUGGGGAAGAUGAACAAAUUCUGGAGAUGGAUGGUGGACACGGUGCGCAACAAUGUGAACGGGUUAAUGCCUCUGCGCUGCACGCUGAAAAACGGCUAACCUGGAAGAUUAGCCCUGAGCUAACUACUGCCAAUCCUCUUUUUGCUGAGGAAGACUGGCCCUGAGCUAACAUCCGUGCCCAUCUUCCUCUACUUCAUAUGUGGGACGCCUACCACAGCAUGGCUUGACAAGCAGUGCCAUGUCCACACCCGGGAUCCGAACCGGCAAACCCUGGGCUGCUGAGAAGUGCAAUGUGCGAACUUAACUGCUGCGCCACUGGGCCGGCCCUUGCCUUUCUUAUUUGAUGUUAUAUUUCAAGGCAGGAAUUGCAGAAUGGAUACUCGAGAGGCCCUGCCUGAGCGAGAUCUUACGGUGUCACAGGAGGAUUUGGUUUCACGACCUUCACAGCAUUAAGUGAGA